rnacentral:tRNA from 2 species
CAAGAUGUAGCUUAAUUAAAGCACCCGGCUUACACCCGGAAGACUUCACGUUUCCAUGAACAUCUUGA